ensembl:lncRNA
GCAAUGCAAACAUCAUGGAGCCCCAGUCAAUACCACACAGUAUCUGGAGCUUCCCCAUUAAAGCACUGGAAGACUUGGAAUAUAUAACAGAAAGAGAAUGGAAUAAAAGAGCCAUUAUACAAUGCCUAGAAGCACAGGGUCAAGGAGACCAAGCAAUGCCAAUGGGAUUGAUGAGAAUCUGCAUAGUGCCUAGGAGCACAAGGUCAAAAAGGACCAAACCAAUCCAGGUAGGAUUGAUGAACUUCUACACCAGUAAGAAAAGACUUGAUCCUAGUGCGAGACUCGAUGUUGAGAUGCUUGAUAUUAAUUUUCAGGACUCCUUGUACCACAUUGCUUGUGAAAUACUCUCAGAUGAGUACCGAAGUUUGGCUACCUUCCUGACUCCCGCAUCCCUGAGAGUGAAGACUCAUACAUUCCAUAAUUCAACCAUGUAUCCUGAGCUGAUCUGGGAGUUGGUCAACACCCUUUUCAUGGGAGAUUGUAUUUUCAUAAAAAUACAAUUUAAAAUUUUGUUUGAGAAAAAAAUUUCAGGAAAAGAAGCUUGCUAAUUCCUUACACCCAGAGAAUGAACUGUUUGCAGAAAGAUGCCUAAAAAAACCUACACUGCAUCAAGAAGAUCCAGAAUUAACUUUGGGGUAUGGUUGAUUGAACUGAAGGGGGUUAAACAUUUGUUUUGAUUUACUUUCUCAUUCUUCUAUAUCCCUCUUAUCCUUAACUAAUGUAGUGUCCUCUUUUGAAGUUGCAAUUUUGUAUGCACCUGUAGUUAGAAGAUUUUUAGAAGUAAAAAACGAUUAUGUUAAAUGAUCAAUUGGAGAGACUAGUCUCUCCAAAGAUGGGGGGGGGACUGUGAAGAUGGGAUUAACUCUCCCCUAUUUAUUCUUUAGAUUUUAGCCACCAGAAAUGUAUACAUUCCCCCACUUAAUCCUUAAGUGUGUGUGUGUAUUUAAGAUCUAUGACCCAUGUGUGCUAGGGAGUGAUAAAUAAAAAACAACUGACUGUCCCUUGGGCA